rnacentral:rRNA from 1 species
AUGAGUCGACUUGAUGGGAUCAACAUCCCCGAUGGCAAGUUCUACCUUGGAGAUGCUGGCUAUGCAUGUCGGCCGGGUAUUCUUCCACCCUUCAGGAAAAUAAGGUACCAUCUCAAUGAGUUCUCUUGUAGGAACUUUCCUAGGACUGCACAGGAGCUGUUUAAUCUCAGACACUCCAGCCUUAGAGUAACUGUUGAGAGAGCAUUUGGAGCUCUGAAGAACAAGUUUAAGAUCCUGGAUCAGAAGCCAUUCCACCCAUACUCCACUCAAGUUAAGCUAGUUCUUGCUUGUUGCAUUCUGCAUAACUAG